rnacentral:rRNA from 2 species
GACGGGUGAGUAACACGUGGGCAACCUGCCUGUAAGACUGGGAUAACUUCGGGAAACCGAAGCUAAUACCGGAUAGGAUCUUCUCCUUCAUGGGAGAUGAUUGAAAGAUGGUUUCGGCUAUCACUUACAGAUGGGCCCGCGGUGCAUUAGCUAGUUGGUGAGGUAACGGCUCACCAAGGCAACGAUGCAUAGCCGACCUGAGAGGGUGAUCGGCCACACUGGGACUGAGACACGGCCCAGACUCCUACGGGAGGCAGCAGUAGGGAAUCUUCCGCAAUGGACGAAAGUCUGACGGAGCAACGCCGCGUGAGUGAUGAAGGCUUUCGGGUCGUAAAACUCUGUUGUUAGGGAAGAACAAGUACAAGAGUAACUGCUUGUACCUUGACGGUACCUAACCAGAAAGCCACGGCUAACUACGUGCCAGCAGCCGCGGUAAUACGUAGGUGGCAAGCGUUAUCCGGAAUUAUUGGGCGUAAAGCGCGCGCAGGCGGUUUCUUAAGUCUGAUGUGAAAGCCCACGGCUCAACCGUGGAGGGUCAUUGGAAACUGGGGAACUUGAGUGCAGAAGAGAAAAGCGGAAUUCCACGUGUAGCGGUGAAAUGCGUAGAGAUGUGGAGGAACACCAGUGGCGAAGGCGGCUUUUUGGUCUGUAACUGACGCUGAGGCGCGAAAGCGUGGGGAGCAAACAGGAUUAGAUACCC